rnacentral:rRNA from 1 species
UACGGAGGGUGCAAGCGUUAUCCGGAUUCACUGGGUUUAAAGGGUGCGUAGGAGGGCAGGGAAGUCAGUGGUGAAAUCCUAGGGCUUAACCCUAGAACUGCCGUUGAUACUCUCUGUCUUGAAUGCCGUGGAGGUGAGCGGAAUAUGUCAUGUAGCGGUGAAAUGCUUAGAUAUGACAUAGAACACCGAUUGCGAAGGCAGCUCGCUACACGAACAUUGACUCUGAGGCACGAAAGCGUGGGGAUCAAACAGG